GCCGGCGUAGCUCAGCGGUAGAGCGAGGCACUCGUAAUGCCUAGGUCGUGGGUUCAAAUCCCACCGCCGGCU
rnacentral:tRNA from 2 species